UAGAGUUUGAUCCUGGCUCAGGAUGAACGCUAGCGGCAGGCUUACACAUGCAAGUCGAGGGGCAGCGGUUGUAGCAAUACAAGCCGGCGACCGGCGCAGGGUGCGUAACGCGUGAGCAAUCUGCCCGUAUCAGGGGGAUAAGCGAUGGAAACGUCGUCUAAUACCGCAUAACACUGACCAAGGCAUCUUGGAUAGUUGAAAGCUUCGGUGGAUACGGAUGAGCUCGCGAGACAUUAGUUAGUUGGCGGGGUAACGGCCCACCAAGACCGCGAUGUCUAGGGGAACUGAGAGGUUGGUCCCCCACACUGGAACUGAGACACGGUCCAGACUCCUACGGGAGGCAGCAGUGAGGAAUAUUGGACAAUGGUCGGAAGACUGAUCCAGCCCAUGCCGCGUGAAGGAUAAGGUCCUAUGGAUUGUAAACUUCUUUUGAGAGGGAGCAAUAAGGUAGUCGAGACUACCGAUGAGAGUACCUUUCGAAUAAGCAUCGGCUAACUCCGUGCCAGCAGCCGCGGUA
rnacentral:rRNA from 1 species